rnacentral:rRNA from 1 species
UACGGAGGGGGCUAGCGUUGUUCGGAAUUACUGGGCGUAAAGCGCGCGUAGGCGGAUCUGCAAGUCGGGGGUGAAAUCCCGAGGCUCAACCUCGGAACUGCCUUCGAUACUGCGGGUCUCGAGUCCGGGAGAGGUGAGUGGAAUUCCUAGUGUAGAGGUGAAAUUCGUAGAUAUUCGCAAGAACACCAGUGGCGAAGGCGGCUCACUGGCUCGGUACUGACGCUGAGGUGCGAAAGCGUGGGGAGCAAACGGG